rnacentral:rRNA from 1 species
GACGAACGCUGGCGGCGUGCCUAAUACAUGCAAGUAGAACGCUGAAGGAGGAGCUUGCUUCUCUGGAUGAGUUGCGAACGGGUGAGUAACGCGUAGGUAACCUGCCUGGUAGCGGGGGAUAACUAUUGGAAACGAUAGCUAAUACCGCAUAAGAGUAGAUGUCGCAUGACAUUUGCUUAAAAGGUGCAAUUGCAUCACUACCAGAUGGACCUGCGUUGUAUUAGCUAGUUGGUGAGGUAACGGCUCACCAAGGCAACGAUACAUAGCCGACCUGAGAGGGUGAUCGGCCACACUGGGACUGAGACACGGCCCAGACUCCUACGGGAGGCAGCAGUAGGGAAUCUUCGGCAAUGGACGGAAGUCUGACCGAGCAACGCCGCGUGAGUGAAGAAGGUUUUCGGAUCGUAAAGCUCUGUUGUGAGAGAAGAACGAGUGUGAGAGUGGAAAGUUCACACUGUGACGGUAUCUUACCAGAAAGGGACGGCUAACUACGUG